rnacentral:snRNA from 1 species
AGCAGCUGGGGAUGCAACAACAAUUUAAGCCCUCGCCUUUUACUAGGGCUUACCGUGUAGUGUCCCCGCUUUAAAGCUGCUAUACAAUCUUUGGAAUAAUUGAGAUCGUUCAGAUGU